UACGUAGGGUGCAAGCGUUAAUCGGAAUUACUGGGCGUAAAGCGCACGUAGGCGGCUUCUUAAGUCGGUGGUGAAAUCCUGGAGCUCAACUCCAGAACUGCCUUCGAUACUGGGAAGCUCGAGUCCGGGAGAGGUGAGUGGAACUGCGAGUGUAGAGGUGAAAUUCGUAGAUAUUCGCAAGAACACCAGUGGCGAAGGCGGCUCACUGGCCCGGUACUGACGCUGAGGUGCGAAAGCGUGGGGAGCAAACAGG
rnacentral:rRNA from 1 species